AGGUCUUGAAAUUAAAAAAAAAUCAUCACACUUCUAAGGUUAUUAAAGCGUGGAUUAGCAGAAAAUCUAGUAUCACAAGCAAUCUGAAUUUUAAGCUGAAUGAUUUAUGAUGUGAAGAUAAUACUGAUAUAACAUUAUGAAUGUUGUACUGCAUCUGAGAAGCAGGAGCAUCAGUUAUGAAGAUACAGAUUUUAAAGAUGCAUUCUGCCAAGUGAAGGUUCCUGAGCUUUCCUGGAGACAGCACAAACAACAGGUGUUUAGAGCUAGACAAAGCAUUUGAAAUUCUUUAAUUUUCCAGCAUUUUCAUCAUUCAGAAUAAGCUGAAGAAUAACAUUGAAGUUCUGAACUGGACCCAGAAGAUGAAAAUGAUGGCUGGCUUGGGCAGAGAUACCAGUCACACCUCAGUUCCUUGUGUCAGUCUCAGGGCAGUGGCUGUAUUGCACCUGACGUUCCCUUCUCCUCUCUUGCUGGUGUGACCCAUGUGGUGGCUCAUGCAGCAGUACAGAAAGGUGGUUUGCAAACAGUCCAAACCAAAGUUGCUGCACACCCAAAACAAUGCACAGCCCGUUGUGAAUUUCUAAGUGGAUUUUAUAGAGAUAACCAAGUGCUUAAAAGAAGCCCUUCUAAAACCUGGCUGUGAACUGUGCCACUCCUCUGAGCCCAAACUUGAGUCUACACUGAGGUGACACACAGACAACUGAAAAUCAACAGAAAGGAACCCAGAGACACUGUCCUCUGAAAGUUGAAAGUCACUGCAUCACCGCGUGAACUAUAAAGAUACCCUUGAGUUGGCUUAUCAUUACAAGAAUGACGUAGAUGUUGCAAAAUGUUGGGUGUGUUUCAGUGUUCCUCAUCACUCUAAUGAAGUUGUCACCAUGUGUCCUAUAGCAUGUAAUUUGUUAUAACAAAUAAAAGAUCAGUUUGCAAUCCCCACAGGGCAGCAAUUGCUUGUCCAAGAUUAUCUGAUGACAGUAAGCGGAACUGAUCCAAGUCAAUCCAAUACAUGUAAGUGUGAAGAUCCAACUCUGCCCUCCACCUGGGACUGCAUGCUCCUCAGAGCAGCUGCUACUUGAAAGCAAAUGCAACAUACUAUACGGGGCAUGGUA